AGAGCGAACGCUGGCGGCAGGCCUAAUACAUGCAAGUCGAACGCACCUUCGGGUGAGUGGCGGACGGGUGAGUAACACGUGGGAACGUGCCCUUUGGUUCGGAAUAAUCCGGGGAAACCUGGCCUAAUACCGGAUGUGCCCUUCGGGGGAAAGAUUUAUCGCCAUUGGAGCGGCCCGCGUCUGAUUAGCUAGUUGGUGGGGUAAAGGCCCACCAAGGCUACGAUCAGUAGCUGGUCUGAGAGGAUGAUCAGCCACACUGGGACUGAGACACGGCCCAGACUCCUACGGGAGGCAGCAGUGGGGAAUUUUGCGCAAUGGGGGAAACCCUGACGCAGCAACGCCGCGUGGAGGAUGAAGCCCCUUGGGGUGUAAACUCCUUUCGACCGGGAAAUAAUGAUGGUACCGGUGGAAGAAGCACCGGCUAACUCUGUGCCAGCAGCCGC
rnacentral:rRNA from 1 species